UCCUCUGUUUCUUGUUUCUGUUCAUCUUCAUCAGAUGGUGGUAUAGAUACUGAGGAGCCUGACAUCUUUUUAGUUGGUGGUGGUGGAGGGUGGUGUUCUGGAGGUGGAGAAGGAGGAGGAGAAAUGCCAUUGGCCUCAGGGAAAAAUUUGAAACAUGACUGAUUGAAGAUUUCUGCACAACCAUUAUGUGAAUGAGGUGCAGUGAAAGCUCAGACAUCUUGCGGUAAAAUGCCAUGUUCAUUCUCUCUCUGUCCAACAGCAACACCUGCUAUUGCUGGCUGCUAAUUCUAGUCACAUUUUGACGGAUGUUGGAGGCACAUGUUGAUUGUAGAUUUCCAACAUAGUAAUGGGCUUCACACUCAUUCUGUGACCAGGAAUCUGACCAAACGACUGGAGGAGAUGAUACUGAUGUAAGGGCGUCUUUUCAGUGUCUCAGGAGAUGAUGAGGCGUUUUUCCUCGGCUCUGCUCCCCUCCCCUCCUCAUCAUCUGGUUAAUUUUAGAGCACCCUGCAGUGCACCACCUCAAGUCAUUAGUGCCAGGAAGCAAAAGACAAGUUUAUUUUCUCGUCUGUGUUGGAGUUCUGCAUCUAUCAGUGUUUACAAGUCCCUUGAAGCAUCUAUAAAUCUUCUCUACAAAAAAAAAAAAAAAAAAAAAAAACACUAUGCAAAGUAAUCCCUGCCUGAAAGCUUCAUCAAUACUUACUAAUAAUAGCAUGAGGGUUGAGAAGCUUGCAGGGUUUAUUAUGCAGCUGUUAUGAUGUUUUAGGAUCGCUCUCAUUCUUCCAGACACUCAGUCUUCCGUACUUAAUUUACAAUGGCCACAGAAAUGGUGGCACAUAAAGUUUGCUUAAAAGGUAUAACUACGGCACUGCAAUAGAUCCCAAAAUAGCAAAUCAAGUGACUUUUGUUUUAAAGAAACGCAGCACAAGAACACUUUUCGAACAAAGCAUUUAAUAAAAAAAGAUCGGGAUUCCAUGAUUUUUUUCAAAUCUGGCUCAAAAUCCCCACCCAAGCCUCUCAUAUACAAACUGAUGCAUGGGUUAUUAGUGUAGUGGCAAAUUAAUAGGUUUAUAUAUUCCUAAUAAGAUAUGGAAUAUUUGAUUUCAGAAAAUCUAUUUAGUGUAUAUUGCUCUCAUCCCAAACAUCAGUCUAAUUUUC